rnacentral:lncRNA from 1 species
GUAUCGGAGCAGACCAUGUUCAGAGCCUUCUCCUGAAACACUGUGCCCCAGUAUUGGCGAAGCUGCGCCCUCCACCUGACAAUCAGGAUGCCUACCGGGGAGAAUUUGGGUCCCUUGGGCCCCUUCUCUGCUCCCAUGUGGUGAAGGCCAGGGCCCAGGCCGCUCUUCAAGCUCAGCAGGUCAACAGGACCACACUCACCAUCACACAGCCUCGGCCCACACUGACCCUCUCACAGGCCCCUCAGCCAGGCCCUCGUACCCCUGGCUUAUUGAAGGUCCCUGGCUCUAUUGCCUUGCCUGUCCAGACACUGGUGUCUGCAAGAGCUGCUGCCCCUCCUCAGCCUUCUCCUCCUCCAACGAAGUUUAUUGUAAUGUCCUCAUCUUCCAGUGCCUCAUCAACCCAGCAGGUCCUGUCCCUCAGCACCUCAGCUCCUGGUUCAGGCUCUACCACUACCUCUCCUGUCACCACCACAGUUCCCAGCGUGCAGCCCAUUGUCAAGCUGGUCUCCACUGCUACCACUGCACCCCCAAGCACAGCCCCUGCUGGUCCUGGCAGUGUUCAGAAAUACAUUGUGGUCUCUCUUCCCCCAACAGGGGAAGGCAAAGGAGGCCCUCCUUCUCAUCCUUCUCCAGUCCCACCUUCAUCUUCUUCACCAUCUCCACUUGGGGGCAGUGCCCUCUGUGGGGGGAAGCAGGAAACUGGGGACAGCCCCCCUCCAGCUCCAGGGACUCCAAAGGCUAAUGGCUCCCAGCCUACUGGACCUAGCUCUCCCCAGCCUGCUCUGUGAUAUUGUCACAUGUGCUGACCUCCUCUCUUCUGCAGAUUCCUACACACACAAACAACGUGUGAGGGAGGAAGAAGAAAGAUGUUUUCCCCAGUGACUUUCUUUUUAGAUUCUGUACAGUAAGUUCCUCAGAAUAAAAGUUGGAUUUGUAACUUUGUGAGCCUCCCUGUGUCACAAAACAGAAGGGGUGAGUCUGUGGAACCUUCCUGUCCAGAUCCAAAGUCACAAGAAAGAAAAUGCCUGCUG